UACGAAGGGGGCUAGCGUUGUUCGGAAUUACUGGGCGUAAAGCGCACGUAGGCGGAUCGAUCAGUCAGGGGUGAAAUCCCAGGGCUCAACCCUGGAACUGCCUUUGAUACUGUCGAUCUGGAGUAUGGAAGAGGUGAGUGGAAUUCCGAGUGUAGAGGUGAAAUUCGUAGAUAUUCGGAGGAACGCCAGUGGCGAAGGCGGCUCACUGGUCCAUUACUGACGCUGAGGUGCGAAAGCGUGGGGAGCAAACAGG
rnacentral:rRNA from 1 species